rnacentral:rRNA from 1 species
GAUGAACGCUGGCGGCGUGCCUAAUACAUGCAAGUCGAGCGAACAGACGAGGAGCUUGCUCCUCUGACGUUAGCGGCGGACGGGUGAGUAACACGUGGAUAACCUACCUAUAAGACUGGGAUAACUUCGGGAAACCGGAGCUAAUACCGGAUAAUAUAUUGAACCGCAUGGUUCAAUAGUGAAAGACGGUUUUGCUGUCACUUAUAGAUGGAUCCGCGCCGCAUUAGCUAGUUGGUAAGGUAACGGCUUACCAAGGCAACGAUGCGUAGCCGACCUGAGAGGGUGAUGGGCCACACUGGAACUGAGACACGGUCCAGACUCCUACGGGAGGCAGCAGUAGGGAAUCUUCCGCAAUGGGCGAAAGCUUGACGGAGCAACGCCGCGUGAGUGAUGAAGGUCUUCGGAUCGUAAAACUCUGUUAUUAGGGAAGAACAAAUGUGUAAGUAACUAUGCACGUCUUGACGGUACCUAAUCAGAAAGCCACGGCUAACUACGUG